GUUGAGUUAGGAUUAGUUUUUCUUACUUAUGGAGCUGACCUUUAAUAAAGCCAUCCGAAGAAGGAGGUAAUUUAUCAAGAAGGCUCGAGACCUUAAAUUCUUCAGAGAGAGAGGUUCCAUUGGUUUGAAGCUUCCUAAGAUAUUCUUGAAAUUGGUGGAGUUGGUCAUUUAUAGGUUUAUCAUCUACCAUAACAUAUCUAAAAAAUGAUGCGAUGUUGAACCGCUCAACACCAGCAUCAGCCAGGCCAUACUCAGAUUCUAGGUUAUCUCAUAAUUCUUUUGCACUUUCUACAGAUAGAUAAAUAUCAUAAAGUAAAUCAGAAAGGGCACUUAGAAUUCUAUCCUUACAAAGAUAAUCUUCUUCAGGGAUGGCAGGAGAGGUUGAACUAGAGAAGGCAGAGGAUUGGUCAAUAAUUGAUCAGAGCUCCAAAGUGGAUCUGGCUUGGGAGACGGUUAAAUCACUGCCCUAAAGGAGAUUUCGGCCCCUUCUCGUGCGAAAGUUUGAGCCGCACACCCUCCUCCAAAGUACAACUCGGAAGUCAAGUACUCCAACGUUCGUCAGUGGCACGAUCUCGAAUGGAUGCCGAUCAGACUCGUCCUCAGCCCAAAUAAUAUUAAAAACUAAACAAGAGAGAGAGAGUGAAGAGAGAAUUUUUUUUGGGAAAGAAGAAGACUCUUGGUGUUUUUUUUUUUCCUAUUGAGAACCGAGGAAAGGGGGGCCUUAAAUAGGCCCAAACAGCUGCGGCAGCUGUGCGUGCGAGAACCGUCUCCAGAAUAGAUGCUCGCGCGUGGAGCUCCUGCGAAACGGCCGUGAAACAAUCGCAUAGCUCGUACAGCUUGCAUAACGGCCAGACGGCAGAAUGUUCACGUGUACUCAACGCGGAAUAUUCACGCGCAUUCGACGUUCUGCGCGAGAAGUUUUGAAACUCCCUCAAAAAAUAAAGUCAACAAUAUGAGGGAAACUAUUUGCAAUUUCUCUUUCCAUUCUGCAGUGGAUUUAUAUUGCAAUGCCCAGAAAAUAGAUUCAAUUGACUCACUGUUGCUUUUGUCUCAUUUUCUGCCUUUUCCUUCGGAUUUUGUUAUUCUGGUGCGGUGUAGGCAAGGAAAUAGUAGAUGAUGAGCUGAAUCCAGGAUGCCUGUCCUCUAUUUUGGGUGUCAAGAUACAAGGCAUUGCUGCUCGGUUUAUGGCACACUAUCUGCACAUCUGUUGCUAGUGUGUAUAUUCUUUUGUUGGGAAUCACGUUGGACAACUGGAAACAGGUUCUGAUCAGGCUGAGCCGCUGAGGUAUCAUCUUUGUGAGAACUCCAACUGGAACGGAUUCAUUAUUCCUCCAGUGUUGUGAGAUACAAAAGCUUUGGCUGCCGAUCAGUUAAUGCAAUGAAGCCUGGACCCACAGCUUAUUACCAAACUCCAAUAUGAAAUUUUGAAUCGUAAGUAACAUAAAUAUGUUUACCAGAUGCUGAGCCUGACCAUCCUUUUUUUCAGUAUUUGAGAACCCUAUUUUGGGAAAACAUGAAUAAUAUUCUACUUUUCUUUGAGUGAAGAUAUUAAUGCUACCAUUCUUGAAAUGCUUCUGUAUGCACUCGUCCCAAGCUGCUGGAUGCUUCAUGUUUAGAAAACAAGAAUGCCAAGUUGGUUUCUUGCAGUGCACGCCAUAGCGCAAUGAUCACAGGCAAAACCUGUAUCUUAUCAUUGUUCAUUUGGAUAAUCCCUGGGAAUUCCUGGUUACUUUCAGUUAUCCACCACUUUUUAUUCAUUACCGUGUGUAUUAAAUAUAUAAAUUUUGUAUUUUCUAAAUAAAAGUCUGGUCAGCCUCUGGAGUUAUUUUAUGAUUAAGUUAUAUGAUUAAUUAAUAAAUAACAUUAUCUAUCCCCAACACCAUACAGAAUUUUCAUAGCUUUAUCUGCAAGCCUUCUAUGUUAUUGUUGUGGUUGUGAUUGUUGAUUCUCUGAUGGUGCAUCAGUGAAAAGACUAGACCUGGGUAAGGUAGGUCCCUCUCCCUCACGCACGCGUGCACACGCAAAAAGCAGCUGCAAUACUCUAUACUCUCAUUAUUGGCAUAUUUGUUCUGUUACAGUUAUUAUAUUAAUAUUCCAGUCGUCAGAGCAGAAACCAUAACUCUCCAGCAUUUUAUAUUUGAUAUCACAGUAGUUACUGCUGGUGCUGUUUCUGCGGUCAGCAUUGCAGUAGCAGCAUCGAUGGGGCAGCCAUUCAAUACGGCUGAGGAUGGGAGUUGUUUUGCUGGGGUUGGAACGAGUAUGGCCCGGUUGGCUUGGGAGUUGGGAGAUGCAAUUGACAGAAAAUUCUCCUCUCUGGUACCAGACAUAUACGUUGGUGCUAGCUGAAUCUCAUACUUGUCUGAUUCUCUCAAGGAUUUGUUUCCUUCACAGAUUUUGUUAAGAGUACAUAGAUUUCACCCAAAACAAAAUAUUUUUCUGUUGCUCAAUAUAUGCAUAUGCGUAUGCACAUGCAUGUUGUUAACUCUUUUCCAGGUCUCACAUGCUCUGCGGUGUGUACUUGUUUUUCCCCCUCUUUUAAGUCCUAAUAUGUGCAUAAAAAUAUUUGUUCUU